rnacentral:lncRNA from 10 species
UUUACUAUUAAAAAUGUCAAAUAUUUCCUAUGUUAUUACAUAAUCUUCUACAUUACAAUCUUAAUGACUACAUAUUAACUCAUUGUAUGGGUGAGCUAACAUGUAAUUGAGUUCCUAUUAUUAGAAAUUUUGAUGUUUUCAAAUUUGUACUGUUAGAAAGAGUGCUCUGAUGAAUGUUUGUGUAGAUAACAGCCACAGGAUCAUUUUCAUAGGCCAAGUUUUAAAAUGUAUCAUACUACUUCAAUGUACAUUCACAAUUUUAGGAGAUUAGUUACAUAUUGCCAGUUUGAAAUGGAGAAAGAUCCCAUCAGAUUCACUUUAUCAGCAGUCCUGUUUCCUGGAAUUUUCACUAGCCAUGGGUGUCAUUUUUUUUCUUUUUAAAAAAUUUUCUUUUCUAUUUUCUUUCUUUCAUGUUUUUCAGGCUUUCAUUAUUUUAACCUUUCUCAUUUAUUUAUUGGCCAUGUGUAAUCUUUGAACAAUUGUCUGUGACAAUUUAUUAGUUUUUUCCAUUGGAUUGUUUCUUUUUAAUUUUUUAUGGCUAAUACAUUGUUACAACUAAAGAGUCUACCCUUUAAGUGACGACAAACUAUAGAGGUCAUACCUGUAAACUAUGGAGACAGGAUUCAUGUCAGUGCUCAUAACAGGAAUUCUCAGUUUAUCCCAUCUUGCCCAUUUCCUGGAUAACCAUGCAACCCACAGGGUAGUGGGAUGCGGUUUCUGUAGAAAGGGAGAGAGCUUCUUUUCCUCUCCAGUUUCCCUGUGUCUCACUGGCUGCCUCAUCUGCCUGGCAGACGCAAUCCCGAAGUGGACCCUCAAUGUUAGGUUGUAUACCUCACAGAUCCUGACUUUAGGGAUGGCCUGGAGCCUGUAAGGACUCUUUAAGGACAUGGAUUUUUAGUUAAAUAAAGAUAUUAUUAGUUAACUAAUUUGUUAAGUAAAUUAAUUAGUUGAAUAAAUUCAGAUAUUUAACUGAAUUUUUUAUUUAGGCAUUUUUAUGUUUUCUCAGUAUAGAAUCAAACUAUCUGAUUUUUAACAGAUAUUUUUGUCUACCUUUAUCUAGCUGUAGCAUCAAUUCCAGUAGCUGGAUUAGAAAGCUGGCUUAAAGGAGAGUUCCAUGGUGGGCCGGCAGACAAUCAGAUUGUAUCUCCUGCUUUCACAGGAGCUCCACUUUUUGAAAUAAGAGGGGUUAUGAUAUAGGUCUGCUUGGGAUUUUGUUCUUCCAGUCAAAAUCCUGACUGCUUUGAUUACUAAUUCUCCAAUCAAUAUUCAUGUGUUCCUUAUGCAUUGACCAGUAAAAAGCCUGUGUGGUUUUCUCACAGAUGUUUUAUGUAUUGCAUUUUGAGUUGCUUAAGAAUAUAAAGCAAUCUAUCAAUCGAAAAAGCAAUUACAUUAUCACUUUUCCAAGACAGAUGGGGGGAAGAGUAUAAAUAAAAUAUUAGUAAAAGUUUGACUCAAAAGAAAAAUAAAUAUAUAUGUAAAUAAAGAUAAUUCUAAGUUGAUCUAUCUCAUAAAUAAAUAAAAUUAAAACUACAUGAAUUGAGUAAGAAUAUACAAAACACAGUCAUAUAAAAGCAUUCACAGACUUCAUAAUUGCUUGGUUUUUGUUUUGGGUGUUUUUGUUUUGUUUUGUUUUUAAUCUAGCCCUGUCUGCUUAAUGGGAAAAUGUCAUUUGGGGAAGGAAUCAGUAGAGGACAGCGUGGAUGGUCGAGUAUUAGCAAUGAAAUUGGAUUCAUCUGGUGAACAGUUUAGCAAAAGCUUUGUUUUAAAUGAGUGUCUCCUUUUAAAUUGGGUAGCAAGAUUUCUCCAAAGUAGUUAAUAAAGGUCCUUUUAGAAUAACAAACGCUUUCUCAGACCCAAGUUCCCAUCUCUAUUAUUGUGCAGACACCUUACUUUGCAAGUUGCUUAGAUAAAGCUCCCCUUACAUAGAGGUGUCAGCUUUCAGCAAGCCAUAAUCCAAUUCAAAGAAGUCAUGAAUUAAUUUAAUAGAGACCAGGCACUAUGUGAGGCACUUCCACACACUUUAUCUAAUUUAAACCUCUUGUUACUCCCUGUAAUAAUUUUAACAUCGUGUCCUCAAACUGGCAUAGAAGAAAAAGCAGGAAUCUGCGGAAUGAACAAUAAGGCAAUUGCACCUCUUUAAGGCUGCCUUUGCCUGAGAAAUUCUGGGGGGAUAAAAAGAGGGAGAGGAAUUUACAUGUACGAGAGAUGUACUGUGUGUCAGGCUCUGUGUUGAGCAGACACUAGCUGUGUUUUAUUUAACCCCCUCAACUGCCAUGUACAGUGAGCAUGGGCUUUCCUUUAUUUUUUUGAGACGGAGUCUUGCUCUGUCGCUAGGCUGGAGUGCAGUGGCGCGAUGUUGGCUCACUGCAACCUCCAUCUCCUGGGUUCAAGUAAUUCUCUGCCUCAGCCUCCCGAGUAGGUGGGAUGACAGUUGCCCGUCACAACGCAAGCAUAGGCAUUUCUACCGCAAAGUUGGUAAAGCUGAAGUCUCAAGGCCUCUCUUUCCACCGGCCUUUGCCAAGGCUCCGUGAGAUGUCCUACUAAUGUGUUCACAUGGCCACAAGCGUUCUGAGGUUUGUGAUAUUUGUCAGUUAUUGUUUAAAUGUAUCAUCUGUUUGAUUUAUUUUCUCUUCCUACAUAAAUAUUAACUUUCAUACCUAAUCUUAAAUACAUAUUUCAUAUUCUUUUUCUUAAGGAAGGCUUUCAUAGUUUUAAAAGCUUUGGGCCCUGCAAAAUGCAAAUAACUUUCUAGAAAUGAGUAUUAUCUCCAUUUUUACAGAUUAAAAAAUACCUCGAGUUAAACAGGUUAAGUAACCAGUCCUAGACACAGACUAGUAAAAGGGAGAACUGGGAUUUGAACAGCUUGACCUCUAGAUCAUAGAUCAUACUUUUGUCUGCUGACUUAUUUUGGUCCAUAAAAAAAAUUUUAUGUAAUAUGUACAUACAAUUACAUUAAAAGAUGCAAAAAAAAAGAAAAGAAAAGGGAAAGACAUUAAAGCAAACUAAAAAUGUCUCUGCCCACUGCCCCGUCCAGGCUCCCCUGCACCACUCUCUUCGCAGAAGUUUGCUAAUUAUUUAAUCCGUGCAUUGUCAGAGAUUCUGCAGAAACAGAGUGCCUCUGGUGGAAAAUCAGAUCCUAACUGGAGAAACAAACAUCCUACAUACCUGCAUGCACACAUGGUUCUAAGACCAUGUUUGGAAGGUGACAUAAAACACUUGGGGGAACUGGUUUAGAGAGAUGAUCAAAGCUGCAUAAGGGUAAUCAUAGAAAUCAUCCUGAUAUCAAAAAAGAAUUGUAAUGGGAGGAAAGGUUAGACAUUUUAGAUGGCCCCUUAAUUUUGUUGUUUUUUUUUUAGUUCUUAAAGUCAGUUUCAAUGACUCUCUAGGAUUAUUACUCACCUGUUGAAAAAUUCACUCCUGUAAUGUGCUCACUGUUCACACAACAGGCCAGCUGCAGGGCAUGCGAGCUGCAACACGCGUGUGUAUUGUAAGGGACAGCAUCUCAAGAUAAAACCCUCACUCUCUGAGACUUAGUACAAGUUAAGCCACCUUCUCUGUGCCCAUCUUCUCUGCCUACCACAAAGGAUAGUCUCAAGACCAAAUAAUAGUUUGAAUGAAGGACUUCUUAAACUCUAAAGGUGGUUGCAUUUCCAAGAUUUCAUCUCAAGCUUAACCUGUGAUUGAGUCAAUCUGGGCCAUCAUGAUCCUGGUUGGGGCAGCGCUACCAACCAAGGAGCUGAUGGGCAUGAGGCUUGGCAUGAGGACGUGGGGGUGUUGAGCCUUCAGUAUAGCUGCCAUGUUAAUGCCUUAAGGUAAAUCUCAACACAUGGUUAUAUCCCAAAGCACCUCCCCCUUCCACACACACAAAUCUGACUACAAAAUCUUUGAAGAUAUUUCCUAAGGGUGUCAAAAAACACUGAGAGAUUUAUAUAUCUAUAUAUCUCAUAUAUAUAUCUUUCAUACGCGUCCAAGUGGAGAGACCACCAAACAGGCUUCGUGUGAGCAAUAAAGCUUUUUAAUCACCUGGGUGCAGGCGGGCUGAAUCUGAAAAGAGAGUCAGUGAAGGGAGAUAGGGGUGGGGCUGUUUUAUAGGAUUUGGGUAGGUAAUGGAAAAUUACAGUCUAAGGGGGUUGUUCUUUGGCGGACAGGGGCGGGGGUCACAAGGUACUCAGUGGGGGAGCUUCUGAGCCAGAAGGAAUUUCACAAGGUAAUGUCAUCAGUUAAGGCAGGAACCAGCCAUUUUCACUUCUUUUGUGAUUCUUCACUUGCUUCAGGCCAUCUGGUUGUACAAGUGCAGGCUUGGGCUCAGAGGCCUGACAUUCCUGUCUUCUUAUAUUAAUAAGAAAAAUAAAAUAAAAUAGUAUUGAAAUGUUGGGGCAGCGAAAAUUUUUGGGGGGUGGUAUGGAGAGAUAAUCGGGAUGUUUCUCAGGGCUGCUUUGAGUGGGAUUAGGGGUGGCAUGGGAACCUAGAGUGGGAGAGAUUAAGCUGAAGGAAGAUUUUGUGGGAAGGUGUGAUAUUGUGGGGUUGUUAGAAGGAGCGUUUCUUGUAUAGAAUGAUUGGUGAUGGCCUGGAUGCGGUUUUGUAUGAAUUGAAAAAUGAAAUGGAAGACACAAGGUCCAAAUAAGAGAAGGAGAAAAACAGAUAUUAAAGGACUAAGAAUUGGGAGGACCCAGGACAUCCAAUUAGAGCGUGCCCAAGGGGGUUCAGCGUUAUUACUUGCUUGGUCGGUGAAUUUUGGAGCUCUAUCCUUGAUAGAGUCCUCCUUUUUAAGUUAGAGGCUGAGUUUGGUGAGGUGUGUUUUUAAAAGACCAUUAGUCUGUUCUACCUUUCCUGAAGAUUGAAGAUGGUAAGGGGUAUGAAGAUUCCACUGAAUACCAAGAGCCUGAAAAACUGCUUGGGUGAUUUGACUAAUAAAGGCCGGUCCAUUAUUGGAUUGUAUAGAAGUGGGAAGGCCAAACCAAGGAAUUAUGUCUAACAGAAGGGAAGCAAUGACUGUGGUGGCCUUUUCAGACCCUGUGGGAAAGGCCUCUACCUAUAAAGCGAAAGUGUCUAUCCAGACCAAGAGGUAUUUUAGUUUCCUGACUGGGGCAUGUAAGUAAAGUCAAUUUGCCAGUCCUGGGCAGGGGCAAAUCUCCGAGCUUGGUGUGUAGGGAAGGGAGGGGGCCUGAACACUCCCUGAGGAUUAGUAGAAUAGCAGAUGGAACACUGAGAACUGAUUUCCUUGAGGAUAGAUUUCCAUGAUGGAAAAGAAAUGAGAGGUUCUAAGAGACAGGCUAGUGGCUUGUAACCUACAUGGAAGAUGUUAUGAAAUGAUGACAGAACAGAAUGGGCCUAUGAGGCUGGAAGGAGAUAUUUUCCUUGGUCCAAGAACCAUUUGCUUUGUGUGGGAAGAGAUUGAUAGGUGGAAGUUUCAGUGGGAGAGUAGGUGGGAGUGACCCAUAAAAAGGAGAAAAACUGGCCGUGAGGGACUGAAGUUGGAAGUCUAGCUGGUUUUUAGCUACCUUCUCAGCAUAAGCAUUGCCCUGAGGGAUGGGAUCUGAUGCCUUUUGAUGGCCCUUGCAGUGAAUGACUCCAGCUUUCUUUGGAAGUAAAGUGGCCUUGAGAAGAAUUUUUAUUAAAGAGGCAUUAAUGAUGGAGGACCCUUACUUACGGAGAAAACCUUUUUCAGCCCAUGUAACAGCAUGGUGUGCAGGAUAAGGAAGGCAUAUUUAGUCAGUGUAAAUAUUGACACGUCAUCCCUUUGCAAGAGUGAGGGCUCAAGUUAAGGCAAUGUGUUCGGCUUGCUGAGAGGUAGUGCAGUGGGGCAGACUGGUAGCCUCAAUGACAGAUGUGGAAGAUACUAUAGCAUAGCCUGCCUUUGCCGGUGAGCAACGAUUAAGCCUGGUGGAACUGCCAUCAAUAAACCAAGUGUGAUCAGGGUGAGGAACAGGAAAGAAGGAAAUAAGAGGAAAUGGAGUGAAUGUCAGGUGGAUUAGAGAGAUACAGUCAUGGGGGUCAGGUGUGGUAUCCAGAAUAAUAUGGGAGGCUGGAUUGAAGUCUGGGCCAGGAACAAUGGUAAUUGUGGGAGACUCAAUAAAGAGUGAGUAUAGCUGAAGGAGCUGGGGAGCAGAAAGUGUAUGUGUCAGGUGUGAGGAAGAAAAUAGAUUUUGGAAGAAAUGAGAACUGUAGAAAGUGAGUUGAGCAUACUUUGUGAUUUUGAGGGCCUCUAAAAGUAUUAAGGCAGCGGCAGCCGCCGCACACAGACAUGAGGGCUAGGCUAAAACAGUAGGGUCAAGUUGUUUGGAUUAAAAGGCCACAGGGAGCGGUCCCGGUCCUUGUGUAAGAAUUUUGACCCCACAGCCCUGCACUUUGGCUGUGUGUAAUGAAAAAGGUUGGGAUGGUCAGGUGCGUUGGCUCACGCCUGUAAUCCCAGUACUUUGGGAGCCCAAGGCGGGGGCAGAUCACAAGGUCAGGAGAUUGGGACCAUCCUGGCUAAUACAGUGAAACCCCGUCUCCACUAAAAAUACAAAAAUUAGCUGGGUGUGGUGGUGUGCACCUAUAGUCCUAGCUGCUGGGGAGGCUGAGGCAGGAGAAUGGUGUGAACCCAGGAGGCGGAACUUGCAGUGAGCCGAGAUCACGCCACUGCACUCCAGCCUGGGCAACAGAGUGAGACUCCUUCUCAAAAAAAAAGAAAAGAAAAGAAAUAAAAAAGAAAAAGGUUGGGAUGAGUUAGGGAGAGCUAGUAUGGGAGCAGCUUUUAGGGCUGUUUUUUAAGGAAUGGAAAGGUGAAUGAGGAAAGGAUUUAGGAUUUAUGGGGUCAGCUAGGUUUAUCUAGAACAGAUGGGUUGUGGAGGGAGGUAUCGAGGAUAGGAGAGUAUAUGGGUUUGGCACGAUGGGGUGGAUAGACAAAACAAUUUGGUUGAUAAGGCGCAGAUCCUGAACUAACCUGUAAGGCUUGUCUGGUUUUAGGACAGGUAAAAUGAGGAAAUUGUAAGGAGAGUUUAUAGCCUUUAAAAGGCCUUGCUGUAACAGGCAAGUGAUAACAGGCUUUAAUCCUUUUAAACUGUGCUGUGGGAUGGGAUAUUGGCAUUGAAUGGGGAUUAGGUUUUAAUGGGAUGGUAAGGGGUGCAUGAUGGGUCACCAAGGAGGGAGUAGAGGUGUCCUAUACUUGUGGAUUAAGGUGGGGAGAUACAAGGGGAGGAUGUGAAGGAGGCUUUGAACUGGGGAAAAGGGUGGCAAUGAGGUGUGGCUGUAGCCUAGGAAUAGUCAGGGAAGCAGAUAAUUUAGUUAAAGUGUCUCAGCCUAAUAAGGGAACCGGACAGGUGGGGAUAACUAAAAAGGAGUGCAUAAAAGAAUAUUGUCCAAGUUGGCACCAGAGUUGGGGAGUUUUAAGAGGUUUAGAAGCCUGGCCGUCAAUACCCACAACUGUUAUGGAGGGAGGGGAAACAGGCCCUUGAAAAGAAGGUAAUGUGGAGUGGGUAGCCUCUGUAUUGAUUAAGAAGGGGACAGACUUACCCUCCACUGUAAGAGUUACCCAAAGCAUCUGUGAUUGUCCAGGAGGCUUCUGAGGUGAUCGGGCAGCGUCAGACUUCAGCCGCUAAGCCGAGAAGAUCUGAGAAGGAGUCAGUCAGAGCCUUGGGCCAGUUGGACAGUCCAAUUUCCACUGGGGUCCCACACAGAUGGGACACAGCUUAGGAGGAAUCCUGGGCUGCGGGCAUUCCUUGGCCCAGUAGCCAGAUUUCCAGCACUUGAAGCAAGAUCUUGGGGGAGGAAGUCCUGAAGGAAUGCCUGACCACUGUGGCUUAGGUGUUUUGAAGUUCUUUUGUGCUGGAGAUGUGGCUGGGGUUUCUCUCACAGCAGAGGCACAUAAUUGCAACUCUUCUCUAUUAUCGUACACCUUGAAGGCGAGGUUAAUUAAGUCCUGUUGUGGGGUUUGGGGGCCAGAAUUUAAUUUUUGGAGCUUUACUUAAAGUUGGGAGCGGAUUGGGUAAUAAAAUGCAUAUUGAGAAUAAGACAGCCUUCUGACCCUUCAGGGUCUAGGGCUAUAAAGCGUCUAACGGUUGUUGCCAAAUGGGCCAUGAACUGGGCUGGGUUUUUAUAUUUGAUGAAAAAGAGCCUACACGCUAACUGAUUUGAGAGAGGUCAAAGAGAGAGAUGAAGAAAAAGGAGCAUUAACCUUGACUAAUGCCUUUAGCUCUAGCCACCUUUUUAAAAGGAAAUUGCUGGGCAGGUGGGGGAGGGCUAGUUGUGGAACAAAACUGUAAGCCAGACCGUGUGUGAGGAGGGGAGGUGAUAGAAGGAUUACAGGGUGGGGUAGUGGAGGCUGAGGAAGAAUUGGAGCCUGAUUCAGCCUGGCACGGAGCAACCUGAGGAGAAGCAGUCUGGGGAGAAGGGGAGAGUUCAGAUGGGUCGGUGAAAAGGGAAGAUUGAAAAGACUCAGCAACACUUGAGGGUCACUGAGCCUGGAGCUGCAUGAGCGAUAAAUGGAUACCAAGAGAGUAGAAACAGGACCACUGGCUAAGGAUUGUUUAUGUAAUAAAGAAAGGGGCGGUGGUGGAAGCCUGACCUAUUUCAUAGCAAUGACAAUUGACAUGAGAUUCAAGACCAAUAGAUAGGGGUGAAGAAUAGCAAGAUGUUAUGAAAAUCAAAUGUAGCAAAAAGAGGAAUAACAUAGGUUCCCAAGUUUAAGGACCUAAACAAUGCAGUUGCACUGUCACAAAACUGACAUUUAAAAAGGAGCAAUUGGAUAGAAGAUGGAGAAUUUGUCUUUAAACAU